GGGAGGCCCCGCCCGGGCCCGGCCUCUCCCCGCCGCCGCGCAGCUUCCGACUCCAAAACCGGCCGGGGGCGUCCGCGCUGCGGCCCGGGGGGGGGUCGCGGCCGGGGUUUCCCCGUCCUCAGUCCUGCUCAGAUUUAAUCUCCGCUAAUUGUAUGAACAGGCUCCUGUCAACUUCACUGGCUCGGGAGUCAGCCGCUCUCCUCGGGGGCAGGGGCCUCGCAGCCCGGCGUGACGCCUGGUGGCUUGGGAAAAAGUAGAACUCAUACCUCCACAGAUGUCUUCCACAGGAAAUAGAUCAUCUUUGAUACUUUCCAAUCAAGAGGAACUAUAUAAUCAUCCGGCAACAAAGAUUCUGCAAAAGAACAAGACAUUUUACAGAUGACUAUUCAUAUUACUGCAUUUUAAGCAAAGAAGUAUCGUUGUAUUUUAUCAGCCAAGAUGUACACUUGCAAGCCAUAGCUGAAGAGAGGAAAAGGUAUUUGCCAGUAAUAGCUGAGACCUCACAAGCACCAAAUAUAUGGAGGAAAUUAUAUUGUCCUCAUCAUUAGUGAUGGCAUCAACUUUUACAAGAAAAUUAGUGGUCUUGACAGGUGGGAUUUUUUCCUCAGUUGUUGAAGAAACUAUACACAAGCUAUUGGGAAACUUCUGAAAUGAAGAAGCACCAGAUUGUCC